UACAGAGGUCUCAAGCGUUGUUCGGAUUCAUUGGGCGUAAAGGGUGCGUAGGCGGCGCGGUAAGUCGGGUGUGAAAUCUCGGGGCUUAACUCCGAAACUGCAUUCGAUACUGCGGUGCUUGAGGACUGGAGAGGAGACUGGAAUUCAUAGUGUAGCAGUGAAAUGCGUAGAGAUCAUGAGGAAGACCAGUGGCGAAGGCGGGUCUCUGGACAGUUCCUGACACUGAGACACGAAGGCCAGGGGAGCAAACGGG
rnacentral:rRNA from 1 species